CCUACGGGAGGCAGCAGUGGGGAAUAUUGCACAAUGGGGGAAACCCUGAUGCAGCGACGCCGCGUGUGUGAAGAAGUAUUUCGGUAUGUAAAGCUCUAUCAGCAGGGAAGAAAAUGACGGUACCUGUUUAAGAAGCCCCGGCUAACUACGUGCCAGCAGCCGCGGUAAUACGUAGGGGGCAAGCGUUAUCCGGAUUUACUGGGUGUAAAGGGAGCGUAGACGGCAGCACAAGUCUGGAGUGAAAUGCCGGGGCUUAACCCCGGAACUGCUUUGGAAACUGUGCAGCUAGAGUGCAGUAGAGGGAAGUGGAAUUCCUAGUGUAGCGGUGAAAUGCGUAGAGAUUAGGAGGAACACCAGUGGCGAAGGCGGCUUACUGGACUGUAACUGACGUUGAGGCUCGAAAGCGUGGGGAGCAAACAGGGUUAGAUACCCGGGUAGUC
rnacentral:rRNA from 1 species